UUUCCAAUACCCCAAACCUUGACAUCUUCUUCUUGUCGUAGAUUACCGGUGAGCCACCGCAAAUCAUUUCGGGCAAUUUGAACACUAUUUGUUGAUCAGGAAUAACAACGAACCUCUCAGUAAUGGCAAAAUCAUGCAUCAUGGUUGGUUGAUCAAGUGAGAUUUCAACAUCAGGAGACUUUUUACCAUCGGCAGAAAAUCUGAAAUAUUUCAGAUAUGGCUUCUGGACAACAUCGUAGCUAAGAGCAAACAAUUCCCCAGAAGAUGGGUCGACUUUUGGAUGAGCAAUCAUUGUACUCUUGAGUUGGCCAUUGAAAUUGUUUCGCCCAACAGUUUUGAGGUCUCCA
rnacentral:misc_RNA from 1 species